rnacentral:lncRNA from 1 species
CUUAUCAGUACAUCCCUCUGGCCCAGCCUGUUCCUGACUGUAGCAUAAGCAAUUGCCCAAGCACUUUUACAACAUCCCAGCACCCACAGAGGUGCAAAGCCCCUAUACCAAACUCUUUGCCUUCAGCUGCAGUGGCUGAAUGUUGAGCUAGGUAACUCAGGUGAUGCUUGUUGGGCAAUGAGGGCUAGAAGCUGAUAUGAAGCCUCAACAGGGAUUUCUGGGAGCAUGCUCUCCUCUGGGCUGUCUAGUCCCUAGCAUCAUCUUCCUUUGAUUCCUCUCCAGCCGUGGGAUGUGCUCCACUGGUUUGGUUGUGUAGUACGCCACUGAAUCACGUAUUGAUCCCACAGAAAAAAUCCUGUGAAAAAAAAACAGGCAAUUUCUGCAUAGCGCUUGAUACUCACCCCCCUAAAAACUGUACAGUGAGAGGGAAAGGAACAGAGGCUGAGAAUCAAAGGAGAGGGCUUACACAAUGAGCUGGGCCUUCAAUAAGGAUGCGCUGACACAGUAUUUACAUGGAGAAUUCCUGCCCGGUGUUUAAGGAAGAAAAAUCCGCAGAAGUUUAAAUUCACCCUUGGGCAAAGACUCUGCUCUUGGACUUGCCAGACGUCUGGCUCUCAUCCAGACAGCCUGACUUGCAAGCCAGGCUUUCAAGGAAGAAAGGAACCCUUGGGAAAGAGCAGAUUACAGCUGGUCCAAAAAGAGGGGAUUCUGCUCAGUGAAUGCCGUUCCAGUUCCUACACAGUACAGGCAAUUGUCACCUCCUUUCUCCCCUCUCCCCCCUGCCCCCGUGCCUUUCCUUAACUCAGCUGUGCUGUAGCACUUGAUCAAUUGCAACAGCACUAAAAAAAAAAAAAAAAAAAAAGUUAGUCAUACAUGAUCAGCAAAAUGGCCCAAAUGAUGUCAUCCAUCAAGAUGGACAUCGCAAUUUGCCAACUAUUUUCUCAUAAAUCAAAUCAUAGUCCCACAAGGAAGAAGAGCAGCUCAUGAAGAGCCAACAUGGCAGCAGUUAUCGGCAGACUGAGAGAAAUGCUCCCUCAAGUAUACAGUAAUUAUUUUUACUCGAUGGGAAAUAAAGAGGGGAGAGAUGGUAGUGUAGAACUGGAG